rnacentral:tRNA from 1 species
GGCUCUAUAGCUCAGUUGGUUAGAGCGUCUGCCUUGUAAGCAGAAGGUCGAGUGUUCGAAUCCCUCUGGAGCCU